AGUAACGGCGAGUGAAGCGGUAAAAGCUCAAAUUUGAAAUCUGGUACUUUCAGUGCCCGAGUUGUAAUUUGUAGAAUUUGUCUUUGAUUAGGUCCUUGUCUAUGUUCCUUGGAACAGGACGUCAUAGAGGGUGAGAAUCCCGUUUGGCGAGGAUACCUUUUCUCUGUAAGACUUUUUCGAAGAGUCGAGUUGUUUGGGAAUGCAGCUCAAAGUGGGUGGUAAAUUCCAUCUAAAGCUAAAUAUUGGCGAGAGACCGAUAGCGAACAAGUACAGUGAUGGAAAGAUGAAAAGAACUUUGAAAAGAGAGUGAAAAAGUACGUGAAAUUGUUGAAAGGGAAGGGCAUUUGAUCAGACAUGGUGUUUUUUGCAUGCACUCGCCUCUCGUGGGCUUGGGCCUCUCAAAAAUUUCACUGGGCCAACAUCAAUUCUGGCAGCAGGAUAAAUCAUUAAGAAUGUAGCUACUUCGGUAGUGUUAUAGCUUUUUGGAAUACUGUUAGCCGGGAUUGAGGACUGCGCUUCGGCAAGGAUGUUGGCAUAAUGGUUAAAUGCCGCCCGUCUUGAAACACGGACCA
rnacentral:rRNA from 1 species